GCUUACGACCACACCGGCCUGAGUACGCCUGAUCUCGUCUGAUCUCGGAAGCUAAGCAGGGUCAGGACCUGGUUAGUACUUGGAUGGGAGACCGCUGGGAAUACCCUGGUGCUGUAAGCU
rnacentral:rRNA from 1 species